rnacentral:rRNA from 1 species
AACGAACGCUGGCGGCGUGGCUAACCCAUGCAAGUCGAGCGCGAAUUCCGGGGCAACUCGGAUAGUAGCGCGGCGGAAGGGUGCGUAAUACAUGGGCAACGUACCCCGGGCACGAGGAUAGUCCACCGAAAGGUGGAGCAAUACUCGAUGAGACCACACGACCGUAUGGUCGAGCGGUCAAAGGGCGGGGAUCCGAAAGGACCUGCCGGCCUGGGAGCGGCCCAUGUCCCAUCAGCUAGUUGGUAGGGUGACGGCCUACCAAGGCAACGACGGGUAGCCGGACUGAGAGGUCGACCGGCCACAUUGGGACUGAGACACUGCCCAGACUCCUACGGGAGGCUGCAGGGACGAAUAUUCCGCAAUGGGCGAAAGCCUGACGGAGCGACGCCGCGUGUGGGAGGAAGUCCUUCGGGAUGUAAACCACUGUCAGUGGCUACCAAGCAAGACCCCAUAACAUGGGGUGGAGUUGAGGAGCCGCAGAGGAAGCCACGGCUAACUUCGUGCCAGCAGCCGCGGUAAGACGAAGGUGGCUAGCGUUGUUCGGAAUCACUGGGCUUAAAGCGCACGUAGGCGGCCCGUUAAGCACCUUGUGAAAUCCCUCGGCUCAACCGAGGAAUGGCUGGGUGUACUGGCGGGCUUGAGGCAAGUAGGGGCGCGUGGAACUCUUGGUGGAGCGGUGAAAUGCGUAGAUAUCAAGAGGAACGCCGGAGGCGAAAGCGACGCGCUGGGCUUGUCCUGACGCUGAGGUGCGAAAGCCAGGGGAGCAAACGGGAUUAGAUACCCCGGUAGUCCUGGCCGUAAACGAUGUCCACUAGGUUGGGAAUCUUUUGACAGGUUCCCGGCCGAAGUAAAAACGUUAAGUGGACCGCCUGGGGAGUACGGUCGCAAGGCUAA